CAUGUUUUAGCGGUUAUUUUUUUUACGAGAACGCUCGCAUUCGCUCACGCUUCAGAGAGUGAUGACUUUGUGAAUGCAGCUUAAAAAACUGUUUAAUGCAGUGCUCUGUCAGAUGCAUUGCAGUCAAAAGAGACAAUGGGUUUUCAGACGACAACCGGUCAAAGAACGUACAGUACACACACAAGGACAUAAGAAUGUAAAAGACUGGGUGUGUGAUACGAGACAGAGCGGAUGAGAUCGACUGAAUAGAUUGGCUAUGUUUGGAAAGAUGGUUGGAUGAUGGCUGCGACGAUAAGCAGAGCUUUGCAGGUGAAGGGUGACUGAACGUGACGAUCUCUGCACGCGUGUAAUGCUUCUCAGCUGUCUGUCACACCGCGAGCAUAUGAUGUCACAACCUUGUCCAGCUUUUCCUGGGCCUGAAACUAAAUGGAAAAGCAAACACCUGUAGGUGUAACAUCCCCUCUCACGCAAUGUCGGACGGGCUGCAGGAGAGCACGGUCAGUACUGGGAUGCAUGCAUAUGACAGUUGGGCCUGGUAUUUGACACAUCAGUGAAGUGUGGCUGUAAACGGUAACAACAUUGCCUUGCUGAAGCCUCAGUCUUCC